UAAAUUAAGAUACAUACACAAGACAGGGACUGGAAAAUCACUGGGUAUGUCAUUGCUUUCAUAACCUUCUUAUUUGCUCCACAAAUUGGUUUAUGGUCCUCUUAGGGCAUGUUCAUCAACAGACUCCUUGUCAACAAUUUGAUAUGAAGCUUCAAAUGGACCAGAAAACAGGAUACAGGAAGAAACAAGGUGACCUUAGUUGAAAGGCAGCAAGCCACUUACAUUAGCCAUCAUGUCAUAAACCUUAUGCAGAAUCAAACUCUGUAUCAGAGGCAAGAAAAACAUAGAGAUUCUGGUUAACAAAUAAGUGGAGAAAAAAGAUACAACAAAAACAAGAACCGGUAAAAAGCAACUUCAUUAGUUGCAAAAUUCUUGAAAUAAGGAAAAACUUUAAAAUUGAAGACAAAAUAAAAGAACAAAGUUAGAGAGACCAAACUAUUUCAGCAUGAAGAGAAAUAUUGGCAGUGAAACAUGGGUAAGGUCAAAUUCCCUGCAGGUUGACUGAUACUGAGAUUGUAAAUCCAGAAGAAAAUACCAUGGAUAUAAGGAGGAGAUGGACCCCUGGAGCUUUCCUUUAACCACUAUCAAGCUCAACACUGACUAGAGACACUUCCAGAACUCUGUACACACUUGGAAGAGUGACCUGUCCUCACCUGGUAGAGUGGUACUACCUGCACAAUACUUUAAUAGGAUCCCCGGUACAGGAGCUGGGAGGAAUUUAGGGGCCAGAAUAUAAUGGUCUCCAACUA